UCAAAUUCCAUAACCCAACUCCCAAAUGGUAAUGAGAGUUGUUUUGCCCAUAAUGUCGUAAACCCGAUUUUAGCUUCUUUUAGUAGUUGAAAAAGGGGGGCGUCGACACUGGGACUACAAGGAGCUGUGAUUUUACUGCUGUUGCUGCUGCUACUUCUUGCUGACUUCCUUAUUACACCAAAAGAAAAUCAAAGGUAAGCUAGCUAUGCCUAUC
rnacentral:lncRNA from 1 species